rnacentral:rRNA from 1 species
GACAGAGGUGCCAAGCGUUAGGCGGAAUCACUGGGCUUAAAGCGUGUGUAGGUGGAUUUGUAAGUACCUUGUGAAAUCCCACGGCUCAACCGUGGAACUGCUGGGUAUACUGCCUGUCUUGAGUCAUCUAGGGGCGAGCGGAACAAAUGGUGGAGCGGUGAAAUGCGUAGAUAUCAUUUGGAACGCCAAUGGUGAAAACAGCUCGCUGGGGAUGUACUGACGCUGAGACACGAAAGCCAGGGGAGCAAACGGG